AUUGAACGCUGGCGGCAGGCCUAACACAUGCAAGUCGAGCGGUAGAGAGGUGCUUGCAUCUCUUGAGAGCGGCGGACGGGUGAGUAAUGCCUAGGAAUCUGCCUAGUGGUGGGGGAUAAACGUUCGGAAACGGACGCUAAUACCGCAUACGUCCUACGGGAGAAAGCGGGGGAUCUUCGGACCUCGCGCCAUUAGAUGAGCCUAGGUCGGAUUAGCUAGUUGGUGAGGUAAUGGCUCACCAAGGCGACGAUCCGUAACUGGUCUGAGAGGAUGAUCAGUCACACUGGAACUGAGACACGGUCCAGACUCCUACGGGAGGCAGCAGUGGGGAAUAUUGGACAAUGGGCGAAAGCCUGAACCAGCCAUGCCGCGUGGAGGAUGAAGGCCCUCUGGGUUGUAAACCUCUUUCAGCAGGGACGAAGCGAAAGUGACUGUACCUGCAGAAGAAGCACCGGCUAACUAACGUGCCAGCAG
rnacentral:rRNA from 1 species